UCUGUUAUCCUUUUUUUUUUUUUCCUUCACUUGUUAGAGAAUGUUUAAAUGGUGACUUGAGCAAAAAGGUCCUCUCAUCUUUAAUUAUGAGCAUCUUCAUUUUCUUAUAAUCUUACAGUUUUCAUAACUGAAACACGGAUGUUAAAGUAAAGAGUAUUGUACUAGUUAGCUGAUGAGGUUUGGCGAAAUACACAGGUUGGACCUUAUAUUUUUAGAACCUUAUGAUCGCAUUCCGG
rnacentral:misc_RNA from 1 species